GCUAAUGUAGCUUAAAUCAAAGCAUAACCCUGAAGACGUUAAGAUAGGCCCUAGAAAGCCUCGUAAGCA
rnacentral:tRNA from 1 species